UUCGCCCUUGGGCAAGUCUGGUGCCAGCAGCCGCGGUAAUUCCAGCUCCAAUAGCGUAUAUUAAAGUUGUUGUGGUUAAAAAGCUCGUAGUUGAACCUUGGGCCUGGCUGGCCGGUCCGCCUCACCGCGUGUACUGGUCCGGCCGGGCCUUUCCCUCUGUGGAACCCCAUGCCCUUCACUGGGUGUGGCGGGGAAACAGGACUUUUACUGUGAAAAAAUUAGAGUGCUCCAGGCAGGCCUAUGCUCGAAUACAUUAGCAUGGAAUAAUAGAAUAGGACGUGUGGUUCUAUUUUGUUGGUUUCUAGGACCGCCGUAAUGAUUAAUAGGGACAGUCGGGGGCAUCAGUAUUCAAUUGUCAGAGGUGAAAUUCUUGGAUUUAUUGAAGACUAACUACUGCGAAAGCAUUUGCCAAGGAUGUUUUCAUUAAUCAGGAACGAAAGUUAGGGGAUCGAGGACGAUCAGAUACCGUCGUAGUCUUAACCAUAAACUAUGCCGACUAGGGAUCGGACGGUGUUAUUUUUUGACCCGUUCGGCGCCUUACGGGAAAC
rnacentral:rRNA from 1 species